AGAUCUUGUAUUGAUGGCGGUUUCGAUCCAAAGGUUUCUGUCGGUGAGGGAGAUGGGAUCGCCAACUGGUGAUGGCGACUUCUAAUGAAGCAAGGGUUAUUGGAGGGUUUUUGAUUGGCGGUGCUGAAAACCGGUUAAGGUUGACGGCGACGAAUGAAGACAUGACGGCUGGUCGUUGGGGGUUGCUGUUGUUGGAGAUAAUCGGUGGUUGAAGGUCUGUAGAUGGAUAUCGAGGGUGCGAUUUCAUUGUUGAAGUAGUUUGUUGGGUCGACGGUGAUGAAAGGACAGUAGUCAGCGGUCGGCUAUUCUUUGGUUCUGGGCGCUGGUCUUGAAUAGAGUAUACGGAGAGCCGGUGGUCAGCAAUGGUGAUGUCGUAGUUCGGCUGAUGGCGACUGCUAGCGCUGGUUCGGAGGUCGCUACUGGUGGUUCAUCGGGAGAAGUCACAUGGGAUGGUGAGUGAUUGUUUGCACAGGUCUGGGUGCUUCAUGGGUCGUCGUCUGCUAGAAACGACCGACAAUAGUUGAGGGAGGCGUUCGCUGUCGGGGCCUUCCUGCUGGGGGCGUCGUCUAGCCGGGAUCGACCAGCGAUGGAAACUACUGAUGAUUGGUGUUGUUGCUGGUGAUUGAUUUCUUUUGACUUUUGUACAGCUUAUACUGUACACCCCUUUUGACAGGUACAUAGGGUGUUUGGGAUAUCUCUAAGCAAAAUAACUUUUGGGAAAAGAUAACAAACAAAAAUGUUUGGAGAAAGCUCCUUAAAAGCUCAUUUUGGAUUUUUUUAAAAAAGGAAAACUCACUUUUUGUAAAAGUCAGGGAAACCUAGCUUUUUGUAACUUUUCUCAAAAGUUCUUUUGCCCUCUGAAAAGAUACCCCAAACACCCCCAUAGUGACUUUAUGUAGUCUUUUUCUUGUAAUCUUUUGCACAAUUUGUAUAAUUGAACUGGUAUUAUGUAUUAUAAGCUAGACACAAUUUUGAAGUUAGCUUUAGGGGGUGUGGUAAAUGUUUGAGGUAAAAAUGUUAGCUGAUGGGUUUUGAAAUGUACAAUUAACACAACUUUGUUCAUAA